AGCUAUUUUUGGGCCGGCUAAUGUUGUGGUAAUGUUAUUUCAACCUGCUAGCUAGCAGAUAGAUGAUGCUAAUCUUAGCUGUGGUAAUGUCAUUUCUACCUGCUAGCGAGCUAAAUCUGGUUAAAACAUUAGGUAACAAAGUAAGAUUAAUUACUGCAGAUUAAUCACUGUAUUUGAGUGAUUGUUAAUGGUUAGUGGUUAUCUUUCAAAUGAUGCCUGUGAGGCACUUGACGUUGAGACUGGUUGACUUCCAGGCUGCUUUGGAAUAAGGAUACCUCUGAGGCAGCCACCAGUUUUUGGAUAACUCUGAGGCAUCAUAGGUAGUGUUGACUACUUUAUAUCAAUAAAUAACUACUUUAAAGACUUUAAAGACUACUUUAUAUCAAUAAAGAACUUCAGAAAGCCAGCUCCAAACUAUUACACCCCAGUGUCAAUAAGUGUUUCAUUGUCACAUUGGUAUGUGCAUCAAAUCUGAAUUUAAUACUGUGUUCGUGUCAUGAUAUGUCUUUCCCAUUUUUGUUAAGGCGAAGCCAAGGACCUGUGCUCCUCCGUCGGUGCUCUGGCUGCCAGGAGCAUCGAAUUUAAAGAAGUGGCCAUGCUGCCGGCAUCAGACCCCACUGUGGCCACAGGGAGAGCCACGGAGUUCAAACAACAGCUCCAGCACCUCGCCAACCAGGUGAGGUCAAAUGAUCAAUUUGACCUCCUCACGCACACCUUGGGGCCAGGAAUGGUAGAGGUGGUGGUGGAUAUUUUUUAAAAGUGUGUUGACACACAUUGAAAAUAUUAACAAUUAGCAAUUUGUUGUUUGUUGUGUUCAUUAAUUAAAUAUCUUCAUGUUCUA